UACGUAGGGUGCAAGCGUUGUCCGGAAUUAUUGGGCGUAAAGAGCUCGUAGGCGGUUUGUUGCGUCGGCUGUGAAAUCCCGAGGCUCAACCUCGGGUCUGCAGUCGAUACGAGCAAACUAGAGUGUUGCAGGGGAGACUGGAAUUCCGUGGUGUAGCGGUGAAAUGCGCAGGACUAUCAGGAGGAACACCGGUGGCGAAGGCGGG
rnacentral:rRNA from 1 species